rnacentral:rRNA from 1 species
GACGAACGCUGGCGGCGUGCUUAACACAUGCAAGUCGAACGGAAAGGCCCUGCUUUUGUGGGGUGCUCGAGUGGCGAACGGGUGAGUAACACGUGAGUAACCUGCCCUUGACUUUGGGAUAACUUCAGGAAACUGGGGCUAAUACCGGAUAGGAGCUCCUGCUGCAUGGUGGGGGUUGGAAAGUUUCGGCGGUUGGGGAUGGACUCGCGGCUUAUCAGCUUGUUGGUGGGGUAGUGGCUUACCAAGGCUGUGACGGGUAGCCGGCCUGAGCGGGUGACCGGCCACAUUGGGACUGAGAUGCGGCCCAGACGCCUACGGGAGGCAGCAGUGGGGAAUAUUGCACAAUGGGCGGAAGCCUGAUGCAGCAACGCCGCGUGCGGGAUGACGGCCUUCGGGGUGUAAACCGCUUUCUCCUGUGACGAAGCGUGAGUGACGGUAAGGGGUAAAGAAGCACCGGCUAACUACG